GGGGUUGUGACUCAGAGGUAGAGUGCUCGCCUAGCACGCGUGAGGCCCUGGGUUCAAUCCUCAGUACCA
rnacentral:tRNA from 1 species